rnacentral:lncRNA from 1 species
CAAAGGACAAUCAAAUUAUUACUAAUAAAAGUAAGUAUUUGGCACUCUUUCCUUUUUGCAAUUGACACCAUAAGAUCAACUUAAUGCUACCUAAAUCUUUGAGAAAUCAGGAAAAUGUAUAUCCUGCUACACAGUUUUUACUGAAGGAUAUCACAUGUCCUAAAACUAAGCAAAACCUUAAAAGUUCAUUUUAUUCUUUUUAGUCUGAUAAAUAAUUAUUAUUCUCAUUUCAGAACCGAUACUUAAGUAUCUUAUCCAUGAGAAAUAUCUUAAUAAGUUCAUCAUUAGGAAUCUAGAGACAGGACUGGUUUCUUACAAUAUCCACGACUGUUACAGAUGCUUCGUGGAGGUUCAAAAAGACUACAGAUCAAGGCCAGUGACCUUCUACACAUGGUGGACACUCCAGCCUCUGCUCAAUCUCCAUCCACACUUAAAGGAAAUAGCCAACUCUUGGCCAACCUUCAGGCCUGGGAAGAGGCUCAAGCAGACACUGAAGACGGACUUAAGCAUGACCAAGGACCAGGGUAUAUACACCAGACAACAGAGCCGUUUCAUUUUGGGGGCUCGUUUGGGAUCAGAAUCAGAAUGGAAGGUAGAAACAUCAGAGUGGCUAUACGAUGUCCGGAAGUGGUGGGUUCUUGGUCUCACUGACUUCAAAAAUGAAGACGAAGACGUGGACUCUGGCGGUGAGUGUUACAGUUCUUAAAGGCGGUGUGUCCGGAGUUCAUUCCUUAUAAUGUUGGGAGUUUCUUCCUUAUGGUGGGUUUGUGGUCUCGCUGGCUCCGGAGUGAAGCUGCAGACCUUCGCGGUGAGUGUUACAGCUCUUAAGGCGGCACGUCUGGAGUUGCUGGAUCCUCCCGGUGCGUUUGUGGUCUCGCUGACUUCAGGACUGAAGCUGCAAACCUUUGCCGUGAGUGUUACAGCUUAUAAAAGCAAUGUGGACCCACAGAGAGAACAGCAGCAAGAUUUAUUGGAAAGAGAUAAAGAAUAAGGCUUCCACACUGUGGGAGGGGACCGGAGGGGGUUGCCACUGCUGGCUCCGGCAGCCUGCUUUUAUUCUCUUAUCUGGCCCCACCCACAUCCUGCUGAUUGGUAGAGCCCAGUGGUCUGUUUUGACAGGGUGCUGAUUGGUGCAUUUACAAUCCCUGAGCUAGACACAAAGGUUCUCCAAGUCCCCACCAGAUUAGCUAGAUACAGAGUGUCCAUUGGUGCAUUCACAAACCCUGACCUAGACACAGGGUGCUGAAUGGUGUGUUUACAAACCUUAAGCUAGAUACAGAGUGCCGAUUGGUGUUUUUACAAUCCCUUAGCUAGACAUAAAGGUUCUCCACGUCCCCACCAGACUCAGGAGCCCAGCUGGCUUCACCCAGUGGAUCCCGCCCAGGGGCUGCAGGUGGAGCUGCCUGCCAGUCCCGCGCCGUGUGCCUGCACUCCUUAGCCCUUGGGUGGUGGAUGGGACUGGGCGCCGUGGAGCAAGAGGCGGCGCUCAUCCCGGAGGCUCCGGCGGCACAGGAGCCCACGGAGAGGAGGAGGCUCAGGCAUGGCGGGCUGCAGGUCCCAAGCCCUGCCCCGCGGGAAGGCAGCUAAGGGCUGGCGAGAAAUUGAGCACAGCAGCUGCUGGCCCAGGUGCUAAGCCCCUCAGUGCCUGGGGCCGGUGGGGCCGGCUGGCCGCUCAGAGUGCGGGGUCCGCCCAGCCCACGCCCACCUGGAACUUGCGCUGGCCCGCAAGCACCGCGUGCAGACCCAGUUCCCUCCCGCGCCUCUCCCUCCACACCUCCCAGCAAGCUGAGGGAGCCGGCUCCGGCCUUGGCCAGC